UUCAUUCAAGGUACGUUUUUGUUUUUGUUUGUUGUCCAAUCAAGUUCCAGCAAGCUUUGUCUGUUUUGUUUUUGUGCAGUUGCCAUGGAGACAACUCAGCUUAUCCAGCUAAAUUAGUUGUUUGUACAAACCCAAAAGUUCUCCGAAUACAGAGAGAGGCACCACCAAGACAUCUGGACUACACCACAGAACCAACAGCCUCCCUGCUUCAGAGCGACCUCCCUGGGCCACUAGAACAACUGUUGAAGCCAAAGCUGAGAGUCAGCAGAGAGCUGCCAGAACCUGGAGCAAAAACCAGAGAACCCUGACUGAGGGCAGCUGCAGGAUCAAAUCACUGACCGCUCCGAUCUGGUAAUAAAACAUUCAGCUCAGCUUACCUAAAGUCACAGAAGGAGCUGAAUGAAGAAUGGAGAACAUGUUCUGAAUGUAAACCAAAGGAUCAACAGUUCUGUGUCAUCAGAACAGAGGGCUGCAGCACCCAGGGAGCUUUCUGAAGGUCUGGCUCAGGGACCCAGAGUGACAGUCUGUGGGAUUCGAACCAAUGAACCUGCUGCCUUGCCAGAACACAAGCAAUCUGCUCCACCACUCCCCAUGAAGGACCGCUAACACUGGAGUCUGGAUGUUUCUAUCCUCUGUUAACCAGAAGGAGCUCCACGUUUCUAACCUUUACUGAACAGCUGCUCCUCUGACUGUUUCUCACCUUAUUAAACUGUUUGCUUUCAGAGAGGUGAGAGUUUCACUUCUGUUUGGGACUGUUCAGAAACAAUCCUGCAGACGGUUUCAUCUGCAUGAAGCACCAUCACAUGUAGGUUCAGUGGGUGGA